rnacentral:tRNA from 1 species
GCUCACUUGGUGAAAUGGUAGACACUACAGACUUAAAAUCUGUUUCUUUAUAGAGUAUUGGUUCAAUUCCAAUAGUGAGCA